UGAAGAAGGUUUUCGGAUUGUAAAACUCUGUUGUUGGAGAAGAAUGUAUUUGAUAGUAAUUGAUCAGGUAGUGACCGUAUCCAACCAGAAAGCCAGGGCUAACUACGUGCCAGCAGCCGCGGUAAUACGUAGGUGGCAAGCGUUGUCCGGAUUUAUUGGGCGUAAAGCGAGCGCAGGCGGUUUCUUAAGUCUGAUGUGAAAGCCUUCGGCUCAACCGAAGAAGUGCAUCGGAAACUGGGAAACUUGAGUGCAGAAGAGGACAGUGGAACUCCAUGUGUAGCGGUGAAAUGCGUAGAUAUAUGGAAGAACACCAGUGGCGAAGGCGGCUGUCUGGUCUGUAACUGACGCUGAGGCUCGAAAGCAUGCGUAGCAAACAGGAUUAGAUACCCUGGUAGUCCAUGCCGUAAACGAUGAGUGCUAGGUGUUGGAGGGUUUCCGCCCUUCAGUGCCGCAGCUAACGCAUUAAGCACUCCGCCUGGGGAGUACGACCGCAAGGUUGAAACUCAAAGGAAUUGACGGGGGCCCGCACAAGCGGUGGAGCAUGUGGUUUAAUUCGAAGCAACGCGAAGAACCUUACCAGGUCUUGACAUCCUUUGACCACUCUAGAGAUAGAGCUUUCCCUUCGGGGACAAAGUGACAGGUGGUGCAUGGUUGUCGUCAGCUCGUGUCGUGAGAUGUUGGGUUAAGUCCCGCAACGAGCGCAACCCUUAUUACUAGUUGCCAGCAUUUAGUUGGGCACUCUAGUGAGACUGCCGGUGACAAACCGGAGGAAGGUGGGGACGACGUCAAAUCAUCAUGCCCCUUAUGACCUGGGCUACACACGUGCUACAAUGGAUGGUACAACGAGUUGCGAGACCGCGAGGUUUAGCUAAUCUCUUAAAACCAUUCUCAGUUCGGAUUGUAGGCUGCAACUCGCCUACAUGAAGCCGGAAUCGCUAGUAAUCGCGGAUCAGCAUGCCGCGGUGAAUACGUUCCCGGGCCUUGUACACACCGCCCGUCACACCAUGAGAGUUUGUAACACCCAAAGCCGGUGAGGUAACCCUUCGGGGAGCCAGCCGUCUAAGGGGA
rnacentral:rRNA from 1 species